rnacentral:lncRNA from 1 species
AGAUAACUCUAACUCAAGUUUUUGAUUGCCAUGUGUUAAAAGUUGCAAAUUUUGAAAAGAUGGAAUGGCAAUUUCUUUGAAAGAAAAGUGAGAUUUUGGAAAUUAAAAAAUCAAUGGAAAAAAGUGAAACGAUAGAAAACCUCCCCUUAAUAAUCUAGGUUUUAUUGUGAGUGUAGGAGGAGAUAUUGCCCUUAGUUUCUCUUUUUCCUUUUCCUCCAUUUCUUUUCUUUCAACUUCUUCCUUUUCUAUCUUUUCUAGAUUCUCUUCCUCUUCUCUCUUUUCUUUCUCUUGUCUUUCCCUCUUCCUUCUUUUCUCUUCUUUCUCCUCUCUCUUUCUUCGUCUUCUCUCCUUUCUCGCUCUCUUCUUUCUUCCUCUUCUUUUCUCUCUCUUGCUUCCUCUUCUCUUCUCUCUUGCUCUAUUCUUUCUUGCUCUCUUCUUUGAAUCUCUCUUUCCCUUUUCUUAUCCUUUAACUCUUGAAGUCUGGCCCUAAAAUCUAUUUCUCUCUGAAAGAAACCUUGAUCUUUUAAACUCUCAAGAAAUACUUUUCCCUCUUGAAUACCAUCUCUCAUAAGUUCCAGGUUUCUUUUAAUCAAAGGAGGCACAAACUUUCUUCUCCUGCAUGAUCUCAGUUCAUACAAAUUUUUAAUGGUGGAUUUCCUACCUUGAUGAAUACAAUGUCGCCUUAUAUUUUCUUGUCUUUGCUUAGUUUAUUUUGCUAGAAUUAAUCAAAGAAUUGUCCUUAAUUGUCUGGUAUUUUCCCGUUUCUGCUAAUUGUGCUUAAUUUGAUCGAAAAUUCUAAUUUUAAUU